rnacentral:sRNA from 1 species
GUCAGCACCCCGCUCUAAAGAGAUGGGGCUAUGGGCGGAGCGCGGGCACUGCCAACAUUGCCUCUAACUUUAGAUAGUUGACCAGCCUGAGUCCGCAACGGACUACGUUAACUGAGUCAUGAUACCCACGAAUGCGACGCUAGUUUGUGGCUCUAUCGUUGACCAUUAAACAGUCUUACGAGGGGUAAGACAGUGUGGUUAGCCUAACAAGCUCAGAUAACAUUGGCGAAGCGAACUUUACCCCAGUAAUGGG